rnacentral:rRNA from 1 species
AAUGAACGCUGGCGGCAGGCCUAACACAUGCAAGUCGAGCGCCCCGCAAGGGGAGCGGCGGACGGGUGAGUAACGCGUGGGAACGUGCCUCUUGCUACGGAAUAGCCUCGGGAAACUGGGAGUAAUACCGUAUGUGCCCUACGGGGGAAAGAUUUAUCGGCAAGAGAUCGGCCCGCGUUGGAUUAGGUAGUUGGUGGGGUAAUGGCCUACCAAGCCGACGAUCCAUAGCUGGUUUGAGAGGAUGAUCAGCCACACUGGGACUGAGACACGGCCCAGACUACUACGGGAGGCAGCAGUGGGGAAUCUUAGACAAUGGGCGCAAGCCUGAUCUAGCCAUGCCGCGUGAGCGAUGAAGGCCUUAGGGUUGUAAAGCUCUUUCGUGGGGGAAGAUAAUGACUGUACCCCAAGAAGAAGCCCCGGCUAACUCCGUGCCAGCCGCCGCAGUAA